UGAACCAGUGAUAAGAAUGUAUAAGAAACUAGAGAUUAUGAAUAAUCUAGUUUUGUAUACCUAUGGUCCAUA
rnacentral:snoRNA from 1 species